rnacentral:rRNA from 1 species
UGGAGAGUUUGAUCCUGGCUCAGGACGAACGCUGGCGGCGUGCUUAACACAUGCAAGUCGAACGGAAAGGCCCUUCGGGGUGCUCGAGUGGCGAACGGGUGAGUAACACGUGGGUGAUCUGCCCUGCACUUUGGGAUAAGCCUGGGAAACUGGGUCUAAUACCGAAUAGGACUCCGGACUGCAUGGUCUGGGGUGGAAAGCUUUUGCGGUGUGGGAUGGGCCCGCGGCCUAUCAGCUUGUUGGUGGGGUGAUGGCCUACCAAGGCGACGACGGGUAGCCGGCCUGAGAGGGUGACCGGCCACACUGGGACUGAGAUACGGCCCAGACUCCUACGGGAGGCAGCAGUGGGGAAUAUUGCACAAUGGGCGCAAGCCUGAUGCAGCGACGCCGCGUGAGGGAUGACGGCCUUCGGGUUGUAAACCUCUUUCAGCACAGACGAAGCGCAAGUGACGGUAUGUGCAGAAGAAGGACCGGCCAACUACGUGCCAGCAGCCGCGGUA